rnacentral:misc_RNA from 1 species
CAACCCAUCCAGCUUGCUGGGUCUUGGGCCUCGCCUCCGGGCGGGCCUUAAAAUCAGUGGCGGUGCCGUCCGGCUCUAAGCGUAGUAAUACUCCUCGCUACAGGGCUCCGGGCGGUGGCUGGCCAGCAACCCCAAAUUUAUACU